UUUUCAUUUUAUAAUUUAAUAUUAAAUACAUCUGAUAUAUAGUAAUUACAUUGUAUCUAAAAGGAAUUUAGCCUCAGAUAUACAUUGAUAAGAUAACUAUGAUUUUUUAAUUUAUUCAUGUACCUGUUUGUACGUUAAUGACACUACAUCAUACUCCUGUAAAGUCUGGUGUGUAUAAAUAUACAUGUUUAUUGACUCCACAUGUUAAAAAUUGUAAUAUUUUGUAUUCAAUGUAUGAAUACCAAGCUGCAUUUCAAAAUAAAAAUAUAUAUCUAUCUGUAUAAUCAUUAGAGAUUUUGAACACAUUGAUAAUAUAACCUGGAUUUUUUUCUGCGUUGAUAUACAGGUCUGUAGUAAAUGUUUAUUACCAUUUGGAAAACAACCUAUAUCUAUUGCGCAAUGGCAUUGAAUUGAACACUAGGUGCUGGAAAUCUUGUUUGUUUCCAUUUCCGAUAACAGUAGACUGCCAAACAACAACCCACAAGCAUGCAACCUGCUAAUGUUGCUACAAUUAUCAGUACAGUUGUAUUA
rnacentral:lncRNA from 1 species